ACAAAGUGAGUUCAAUUAAAAUAAUAAUGAGUAAAAUGUUAAUCGGAAUCACUGGAUAUAUUAGAUAACGUAACUGCGCAUUACAUGUUCUUUAAGCUUUAUUUCCUUUAUUAUUAAUUGUACGAUAAUUGAUAAAACGCUAAUAAUACCUGAUAAAAAUUUAACAUUAUGGUUUCUGACAAACCAGUGAUAAUAAAAUCGUUGAUACGAACUCUCCACUUAUGUACAGUAUACACGAAAUUCUUCUUUUCAUUACACACAUACCUAAUACACAUAGAAACCAUGACAAAUAACAGAGGAAUUUAAAAAUGCUACGAAAAUAACUAAAUAUACAAAAAAAAACCAAGGAGAUCGCACAUAAACAACAAACUAGGUUAACAAUAUAUAUACAAUUUCUUUCAUUACAAUAUUCAGGUUUCGAAAUAUUCUAAAAUGCUACCUCUAACAAGAAUAUAACAUUUCUAUUAUAGAUCCAACGCGUAAAUGACAUGACAUUUUUAUGCCUAAAUGUCGCAAAUCACAUUUGCACCAAUGCGUUGCACUCGGAGCUAUCUUCAAGGACAACAGAUUAAACGGACAUUCACAGAUAAUAUUAAUUUCAAUCAACACUCAUCAUUUUCUGGUAGCACAGGCAGAUUAAUCUGUCUUCUCUUCCCUCUUUUCUUGAUCACGAUCACAUAAGUUUUUUUUAAUUCAGAAUUACUGCAUUCCUUAUCUUCGGGCAGAGGCGGUAGGUUCUUCUUCGGUCGGCGUGGUACAACGGUUUCGUCAGAAUAAUUAUAAUCUUUGUACCUCAUCAUAUCCACGUCCGUAUAGAGCAUCUGUGCUAGUUUCUGCCACAUUUUUAUUUGUAACAAACAAUACGUGCGCUUUCAAAGACUGUUGUAUACAAACUAAAGAACGCCGCGUAUUUUUAGAUUGCACUGAUCGCUUAUGUUGUUUACUGACUACUGUGAAACUAGUGUAGUGCCAAAUGCGUUUACGGCGUUUUGAAGGUUAUAGGCAUAUAAUUAUCUACUAUUGCUAGCUGUCAUCACCGGGGUGUGUUUGUAAUGUUUAGUAGCACUAAUUUUGUUGAUGUCUAGCCCAAAAUAUCAAUGUUACUCAUGAAUGUUAUGUGUAAUGAUAACUAUAUUGUUUUUUAUACCUAAAGGUUUAAACUUUUGCGGGAUAAAACUUGCACAUUUAACAAAUUGAUAAUUCUUGAUUCAUUAUACAUGCUCGAGAUGAACCAGGUAGAAAUUACCUGGAUUCCGGAUGCCUUAAGUAAAAGUCUUAAGUAAUUGCUUCCAGUUUCUAAUAUUUUAUCUAAUGGAAAGCAUUCUAUCCAUCUAAGGGAAACUACUGCAGAUCUUACAGGGUCCCAGAUAGGUGAUGUGGAACUCUUGUUCUUGGGCUACUGAAAUAAUUUACUGAUACAAGAUCUAUAUUCGAGGGAACUUUAGUAAAAGUCGGAAUAAAAUAUUUAUGUACGAAGAUGGUGCCGGACCAAACCCUCUUCAUUAUGCAAUUGGGCCAGAGAACGGCAGACAUGGCUUGUUGUAGUCAAUUGCCUGAGUUAUACACCACAAUCUCCAUUUGUCCCAAACCGGACAGUAAGUAUCUAGUGUCGAUUGUUGCUCUCUAGAUAAUAAUAAGUCUUUUUCCUUACUUGUCCAACCGUCAGCAAUUUCUGUCGACCCGAAAUCAGCUAUGAUAUCCAAAUGAAGAUCCUGGACCUUCAGCAGGUGAAUCCAAGCAAGGUGUCUACUAAGACUUGACAAAGAUUGGGAAUUUGGUAAGACUUUUGCAGAGAUCUAUGUGGUAGUAGGUGAUGGAUGGUAUGCAGUGUUCAACAGUGUUAUCUCCCUCUGCUGAGUCUACCUGAUCGAUCAGCAUGCGAGGCGAUUUGUUUGCCAAUAAAACAUCAUUGGGUCAAAUCCAGUUUCGCUAACCAGUCUUUAUAUGAACAAAGAUAUUCAACUGUUUCAAAUUAAAUACCCGACGUUUGCUACCCGUCCCUUUUAGGGGUCAAAAAGAAUGUUGAUAGGAAACCGAGUGUAAUUUCAGCUCUUUCUAAUCUUUUUAAAUCUAUCCUACCUUGUAUUAGCUCCGACAAUUUUGGAGUAUUUUUUUUUUGAGUCGCUUUUAAUAAAGAUGUUGUCGGCGUUAUUAGAGUCGACUUCAUUGAAAAGGUAUGCGAACUCCUUUAAUUGUUUUACACAUGAAGUUCGGGAUCGAAAAAUUAACCCAGAUAUGUAGAUAUUACCUUAGAAUGCCACCUUGAAAUUCUGGAAAUUUAUGCUUUUCUUAUGGGGGUUGGGCAAGGGUAGGAAGUUUUUUUUUUACUAUGACAUUUUGUGAAAAAAUACCUUUUUAUCAAAACCAGUUUUAAAAGUUGAUAGUGAACAUCAAGUAGAUGAUCUGGGGUUAAUUUUAAUUGAUCUGUCUUAAUAGUUUGUAUUUAUUAAUAUUUUUUCUGCCCCCCACCCCAUUUUUUACAUGUGUCAACUGAAAAUAUUUCUGAAGACUAAGGAAUGUUUUGUAAAGCCCCACAAUAAAAAUUCUCCGAUACUUGUUUUUUUAAAUCGUCCCUUCAAGAUUGUAUGCAAUAAGCGCGCCCACCACAUAUAGUUUAAGUAACAUCGUUGCUUAUCAUGAGGUAUUCCAAAUCUCAUUAAAAGAGUUUUUUUUUAAAUAAUGAUUGCUGAUUUAAUUUCAUACUUUUACCACUAGAUCAAUCUAUGUUUUUCUGUUAAGCUUUUUGAAGCUUUUCUUUUUGAGAUAUCAAAGUCUUUGUAAGAGCCGCAAUGCGAGCUCUAAACAACGUAAUCUAUGGACUUCACUUAAAACUCUAGAUCCCAUUGCAUAAAUUCGUUGUAAGUAAUUCGUUUGGCUCUUACAACGAAUUUAUACAAUGGGAUCUAGAGUGACUGCGUCUGUAUCUAGACUAAUGAAGAUCUAAUAUUCACUUUGUUUUCGUGUAGCAGAGAGUGAAUAGCAGACAAUAAUAGUAAGAAUUAAUGUCCAAAAUAUCUUUUUAUCAUCAUGUGGCAGGGAAAGAACAAUGCAGAUGUCAGGUCAGGUACCAGACAGUGAUCCGUACACCGAGACGCAUUGGGGUCAUGCGUCAUUUAUUCCUAUAGCGAUGUAUUUCUACUGAUUAUCAUCAAAAUGCAACGCAUCCCAAUAGCUACAUUAAAUCUUUGAAUUUGACAUAGCGAAAACCAAUGCAAAUAGUGUUCUUUAUUAUUUUAAACUUGUUGUAUUUAAAUCGAAAUUAAAUGUUAUUUAAAUCUUUAUAUAUUUUGUUUUGCAAAUGAGGGUAAUCAAAAAGAAAGAAGCCACUUGUUGAGAGUUAUUGAAAUUGUGAGUUACUUACAAUUUUUCGAGAUCCAUUUGGUACACUGUAACACCUGUCCAAGCUAGAAUCUCGUGAUGAACAUUGUCACUCGUACUUUUUUUUCACAGUCCAUGACGUUAGAAGACAAAGAAAUAUUUAAAUAUUAACACUUUUCGAUGCGACACUUACAACAAUAUAAUAAUGAUCACUAUUAAUACGUAUUCCUAAAACGUGACUACUGUUCGCAUUGAAAGACGAUGCUCUAAAGAAGUAAAAAAUUAUCAAUUUGUUAAAAUGUGCAAGUUUCCUCCCGCCAAAUUCAAAUUAGAGGGCAGCACUUGCAACGGAAAGGAGCGAAAACUGGAAUAAAAGGCUAAAAAGACAGUUACUUGACUCAAGAUGGAUUCCGGAUGUCAACAUGGAAACAAUAAUAACAUAUUUUGAAUGUACACAUUUACUUAUUAUAAUUUAUACCUAAUAAAUGAUUGUUUAAAAUUGGGCUGUGUUGCUGUAUUUGUCUUUAUUCCAUACUUGUUCCAACACUAUUAAAGUCAUUGUCACUGUUU